AAAACCUGCUAUAAUCAAAAACAAAAUCAACCCAAUGGCAUUAACAAUACCCACAAGUUACAACCAACAUUGUCAUAAGAUAAUCACCUCCGUCAAGAGAACCAUGGUAACCGCCGCCACUAGCACCAGUAAUCCAACACCUUCCGGCGGCGCGUUCACCACCAUCAAACAAAAAGUAACAUUCGAAAGAGAAAUCAAGAAAAGCAAAUUCAUCGCCGUAGCCGCCCCUAUCUCCGAUGAACAAUCCGCCUUCUCAUUUCUCUCGCAGGUAAAAGAUACACGCGCCACUCAUAAUUGUUGGGCUUACAAGGUCGGCGAUCAAUUUAGGUCUAACGACGAUGGGGAGCCGUCAGGUACUGCCGGAAAACCAAUUCAAUCCGCUAUCGACUCGUCUGGUAUUGAUAGAGUUAUGGUUGUUGUUAUUAGGUAUUUUGGAGGUAUUAAAUUAGGCACUGGAGGAUUAGUUAGGGCUUACGGAGGAGUUGCAUCGGAAUGCUUGAGAAAUGCUCCGACUUGUCUUGUAAAAUCGAAGAUUCCGAUGGGCGUGGAGGUUCCUUAUGAUCUUAUAGGAGUUCUAAAUCAUCAGCUACAAUCUUGUCGAGUAGAGAACAUCAGGCAGGACUAUGAGACUGGUAAAGAUGGCAUUGCCAUGGUCUCUUUCCAAGUUGAUUUUGACCAGGUUGAGAAAUUAGAGGAUGCUAUCAAAGCAAAUUGUAGUAGAGACCUUGUAUUUUAUAAGCGGUGAGACAGACAUGGAUGUUUUUUAUACGUGGAUACCAGGAAUUUUGACGAUUUCAUGGUUAAUCAAACAGUACAAGAAAUGGAACCUAACGAGUGCAUCAUACUCCAUAGAUGACCUUUCAAAAGCCUUGCACCGGUGCAAUGAUGGCAAGAACAGCCAAAAACCAGUAACCAUCAUAAACCCUAUUGUCAAAGGUCCUGAGAUCAGCCAUGGUAACUGCCACCAAUCGGCAGUUGCCUUCUUCAAAGCAACCUCAACCGCUAGACAGAAUCCAUGGAGGACAAAGAAGCAAGUGAGUUCCCAUGUAGGCUUCUCUCGGCCAAGGUAGUAAAACACUAGCUCAUGCAUCAUACCUGACACAAGAAAUGUCACUAAUAUUGCUGGAAUCGGGGCCCACUUUCUGCCUACGAUAUACGUGGAUAGAUUGCGAGUUGGUUUGUAAACCGUGGGUCGCAGAAUACUCGGAACCACAAGGUUCCAUCUUCUACCCCAAAAGUCUUGUAAGGAGGUAGAGAGGUACGGCUCAUUGAAUUGUGGUUCGAUCACUAACCCUAGCCCGCUAGCAGAGGCUCCCAUCAUGGCUAGGACUAGUUCAAGAGAAACAUAUACUUGGAUACAAUAUAGAAAGGGGAUGAUCUUAGGGUGGAUAAGGUCACUGUAGUCAUAAAAAUGAAUGACUAUAGCGACGAGUAGGGCCUUUAGCGUAGAGAUUUCGGAUGAUUUUUUACCGUCUUUAGGUGUAUGGACAGACAAUUUUUCUUGGAUGUUGAUCGGUAGGCAAGCUGAAGCAAUGAAAUGCGGAAGAUAGAGUGAAGGAUUUGAAGAUAAAGGACCUUUGCCAAAAGCAAAGAGCAAGAGCUUGAAAUUUGCAAGCCAAGCAAUUGAAAAGCAUGUCGGGCCACCAAGAUGCAUUGUGGAAAGAUGGAGAGGGAGGUAGAGAAAGAGGGAGAUAAUUGGUAGUAAACAAACGAGUCUUAUCGUGCCAUUUGGAACUUUAUGACCAAUAACAUAGCAGUAGGAUAAUGAGAUCAAAACUGAUAGCCAAACCUUAAUGAAGUUGCUAAUCUCAUUUUCCAUUUUGUUCAAAAUCUUUUCUCUUUCUUUGUUCUUAAUGAAAUACUGAUCAUGAUCAUUCUAUUUAUAUAUGCUUCUGUGGUAGAAAUUGUUGAAGAUCUGCAAAUAGAGUUUGAUCAGAUUCAAGAAACUGUUCUUUCUUUUA